UACGGGGGGGCAAGCGUUGUUCGGAAUUACUGGGCGUAAAGGGCUCGUAGGUGGCCAACUAAGUCAGACGUGAAAUCCCUCGGCUUAACCGGGGAACUGCGUCUGAUACUGGAUGGCUUGAGUUUGGGAGAGGGACGCGGAAUUCCAGGUGUAGCGGUGAAAUGCGUAGAUAUCUGGAGGAACACCGGUGGCGAAGGCGGCGUCCUGGACCAAUACUGACACUGAUGAGCGAAAGCCAGGGGAGACAAACGGG
rnacentral:rRNA from 1 species